rnacentral:tRNA from 5 species
GCGGGAUGGAGCAGUUGGUAGCUCGCUUGGCUCAUAACCAAGAGGUCGCCGGUUCGAGUCCGGCUCUCCGCCA